rnacentral:rRNA from 1 species
UUAAGCGACUAAGCGUACACGGUGGAUGCCCUGGCAGUCAGAGGCGAUGAAGGACGUGCUAAUCUGCGAUAAGCGUCGGUGAGGUGAUAUGAACCGUUAUAACCGGCGAUUUCCGAAUGGGGAAACCCAGUGUGUUUCGACACACUAUCAUUAACUGAAUCCAUAGGUUAAUGAGGCGAACCGGGGGAACUGAAACAUCUAAGUACCCCGAGGAAAAGAAAUCAACCGAGAUUCCCCCAGUAGCGGCGAGCGAACGGGGAGGAGCCCAGAGCCUGAAUCAGUGUGUGUGUUAGUGGAAGCGUCUGGAAAGGCGUGCGAUACAGGGUGACAGCCCCGUACACAAAAAUGCACAUACUGUGAGCUCGAUGAGUAGGGCGGGACACGUGGUAUCCUGUCUGAAUAUGGGGGGACCAUCCUCCAAGGCUAAAUACUCCUGACUGACCGAUAGUGAACCAGUACCGUGAGGGAAAGGCGAAAAGAACCCCGGCGAGGGGAGUGAAAAAGAACCUGAAACCGUGUACGUACAAGCAGUGGGAGCCUCUUAAUGGGGUGACUGCGUACCUUUUGUAUAAUGGGUCAGCGACUUAUAUUCUGUAGCAAGGUUAACCGAAUAGGGGAGCCGAAGGGAAACCGAGUCUUAACUGGGCGUUAAGUUGCAGGGUAUAGACCCGAAACCCGGUGAUCUAGCCAUGGGCAGGUUGAAGGUUGGGUAACACUAACUGGAGGACCGAACCGACUAAUGUUGAAAAAUUAGCGGAUGACUUGUGGCUGGGGGUGAAAGGCCAAUCAAACCGGGAGAUAGCUGGUUCUCCCCGAAAGCUAUUUAGGUAGCGCCUCGUGAAUUCAUCUCCGGGGGUAGAGCACUGUUUCGGCAAGGGGGUCAUCCCGACUUACCAACCCGAUGCAAACUGCGAAUACCGGAGAAUGUUAUCACGGGAGACACACGGCGGGUGCUAACGUCCGUCGUGAAGAGGGAAACAACCCAGACCGCCAGCUAAGGUCCCAAAGUCAUGGUUAAGUGGGAAACGAUGUGGGAAGGCCCAGACAGCCAGGAUGUUGGCUUAGAAGCAGCCAUCAUUUAAAGAAAGCGUAAUAGCUCACUGGUCGAGUCGGCCUGCGCGGAAGAUGUAACGGGGCUAAACCAUGCACCGAAGCUGCGGCAGCGACACUAUGUGUUGUUGGGUAGGGGAGCGUUCUGUAAGCCUGUGAAGGUGGCCUGUGAGGGUUGCUGGAGGUAUCAGAAGUGCGAAUGCUGACAUAAGUAACGAUAAAGCGGGUGAAAAGCCCGCUCGCCGGAAGACCAAGGGUUCCUGUCCAACGUUAAUCGGGGCAGGGUGAGUCGACCCCUAAGGCGAGGCCGAAAGGCGUAGUCGAUGGGAAACAGGUUAAUAUUCCUGUACUUGGUGUUACUGCGAAGGGGGGACGGAGAAGGCUAUGUUGGCCGGGCGACGGUUGUCCCGGUUUAAGCGUGUAGGCUGGUUUUCCAGGCAAAUCCGGAAAACCAAGGCUGAGGCGUGAUGACGAGGCACUACGGUGCUGAAGCGACAAAUGCCCUGCUUCCAGGAAAAGCCUCUAAGCAUCAGGUAACAUCAAAUCGUACCCCAAACCGACACAGGUGGUCAGGUAGAGAAUACCAAGGCGCUUGAGAGAACUCGGGUGAAGGAACUAGGCAAAAUGGUGCCGUAACUUCGGGAGAAGGCACGCUGAUAUGUAGGUGAAGCGACUUGCUCGUGGAGCUGAAAUCAGUCGAAGAUACCAGCUGGCUGCAACUGUUUAUUAAAAACACAGCACUGUGCAAACACGAAAGUGGACGUAUACGGUGUGACGCCUGCCCGGUGCCGGAAGGUUAAUUGAUGGGGUUAGCGGUAACGCGAAGCUCUUGAUCGAAGCCCCGGUAAACGGCGGCCGUAACUAUAACGGUCCUAAGGUAGCGAAAUUCCUUGUCGGGUAAGUUCCGACCUGCACGAAUGGCGUAAUGAUGGCCAGGCUGUCUCCACCCGAGACUCAGUGAAAUUGAACUCGCUGUGAAGAUGCAGUGUACCCGCGGCAAGACGGAAAGACCCCGUGAACCUUUACUAUAGCUUGACACUGAACAUUGAGCCUUGAUGUGUAGGAUAGGUGGGAGGCUUUGAAGUGUGGACGCCAGUCUGCAUGGAGCCGACCUUGAAAUACCACCCUUUAAUGUUUGAUGUUCUAACGUUGGCCCGUAAUCCGGGUUGCGGACAGUGUCUGGUGGGUAGUUUGACUGGGGCGGUCUCCUCCUAAAGAGUAACGGAGGAGCACGAAGGUUGGCUAAUCCUGGUCGGACAUCAGGAGGUUAGUGCAAUGGCAUAAGCCAGCUUGACUGCGAGCGUGACGGCGCGAGCAGGUGCGAAAGCAGGUCAUAGUGAUCCGGUGGUUCUGAAUGGAAGGGCCAUCGCUCAACGGAUAAAAGGUACUCCGGGGAUAACAGGCUGAUACCGCCCAAGAGUUCAUAUCGACGGCGGUGUUUGGCACCUCGAUGUCGGCUCAUCACAUCCUGGGGCUGAAGUAGGUCCCAAGGGUAUGGCUGUUCGCCAUUUAAAGUGGUACGCGAGCUGGGUUUAGAACGUCGUGAGACAGUUCGGUCCCUAUCUGCCGUGGGCGCUGGAGAACUGAGGGGGGCUGCUCCUAGUACGAGAGGACCGGAGUGGACGCAUCACUGGUGUUCGGGUUGUCAUGCCAAUGGCACUGCCCGGUAGCUAAAUGCGGAAGAGAUAAGUGCUGAAAGCAUCUAAGCACGAAACUUGCCCCGAGAUGAGUUCUCCCUGAGCCUUAGAGUCUCCUGAAGGAACGUUGAAGACGACGACGUUGAUAGGCCGGGUGUGUAAGCGCAGCGAUGCGUUGAGCUAACCGGUACUAAUGAACCGUGAGGCUUAACCUU